UACGUAGGUGGCAAGCGUUGUCCGGAAUCACUGGGCGUAAAGCGCGCGCAGGCGGCGAUCUACGUCUGGGAUGAAAGCCCGGAGCUCAACUCCGGGACUGCCUUGGAUACGGGAUCGCUUGAGGAUUGGAGAGGCAAGGGGAAUUCCACGUGUAGCGGUGAAAUGCGUAGAGAUGUGGAGGAACACCUGUGGCGAAGGCGCCUUGCUGGCCAAUUACUGACGCUGAGGCGCGAAAGCGUGGGGAGCAAACAGG
rnacentral:rRNA from 1 species